ACAUGGGAGUCCAGCGACAUAGCUAUUAUGCCAACUGCUGGUCCCCAGGAGUGAUUUUCAUGUAUUGGUCUUCUGUCCUGGAGCCUUGCUGAACUCACUCACUAGUUCCGACAGUUUUUAGUGGUGGUCUUGGGAUUUCCUAUGGAAAAGCUCUUGUACUGCUGUAGAGUUUUACUUCUUUUGUUCAAACAUGAACGCUUAUUUUGUCUUCUUGCCUAAUUGCAGGCUCCCUCUCUUUUCAUAGAUAGGGCUCAAAGAAGAGCAGUGGCUGGGCGGGCUGCCCCUGGGGGACUGGCAGUUGGCACUGGCCCAUUGCCCCAUCCGUGGCCUCCCCUGGCAUCCUGAGGUUCAACAUGCCAGAAGCCCUCCCUGACUGGAAUGCAUAGUGACUGUUUCUUGGAAACGCUGGGAGAAUUCAGAAGACAAAGAUGAGUGGAUGAAGAAAACACCAUUUUCCUGCCCAUGCAUUGAUGAUGUCACCGUGUUUACUGUCCUCCAUUUUGUUCCAAAGUGGUUUGGCUCCAUUGGGUCAUAAAGAGCCGCACCUGAGAAUGCAAGAGCACCCUUCCUUGGCCACUGUCUGGCACCUGCCCAAAGCCAGGCUGGUACUUGCCACCCCAUGCUCUGCCUCCUUGCCACAUCUGCUGCCCCUCAGGCUUCUCCCGGCACCUUCCCCAGCAGGCCCACUUCCCUCCUCAUGCUCCCCUCCCUGUCCCAUCCAGUGUCUUCCUCCUGCAUCAGCUUCCCUCUCCCUGAAACCCGCAGACCCUGCAGCCUUGCCUGCCCUCAGCCCUGCCAGCAGCUCCUGGCUGGCUAGGCCCAUUCUCCACUGCCCCCUUCAGAAGUCCGCCCUCCUCACACUGCCCUCUGUGACUCCCGCUGUUCCGCCUCCCUCUCUGCUGGGGCCACAGGCCUCCACCUCGGGUGGGCGGCCAAGGUCCCAGUGACCUGCAGGCCCUAGCCCCGAAGCCGCCCUCUGGGGAGGGAGCUCUGCCUUCCUCAGGCUCCUGGAUGCUCCCUGGUUUCUUGCUCUGGUCAACCAGACCCCGCACCAGGGCUCCUCCGGGGCACAGCUCCCAGCCCUGUACACACCGGCCUGGGGGGACCUCACCCAUGUUCGGCAUCUCCUGUGCGCUUCUGUCCACAGCUCUUGGGCCCUGGGCUCUCCACCCACAUGCCUACUCCUCAGCCCGCCCUGCACACCUUGUCUCUUCCCUCAUGCGUCAGAAUCCAAGCACAUCUGGCCCACGCCCGCAGCGCCUGGGCUCCCCUUACUGCUGAGCCUCCUGGGAGCCCCAGCAGCCAGAGCGAGCCCAGGGUCUGCGGAGCACCCAUCACGUGAGCCUCCUUGCUUUGCCCAGAGCGUACCCCGGCCCUGUGCCUCCCCACUGGCUGUCCCACUGCUUGGAUACUCCUCCCUAGGCCUCAGGGGACUGACGCCGUCUUGGCAGUGAGGCUGGUAACGCCGCCCAGUGGUACAGCACCUGCCCCUGUGCACGCUGCCCCCACGCACCCCACCUCUGGGCAGUGUGUUGCCAGCUCUAGUCAAGGGGCCUGCGGCUCGUGCCUGGCAGGGGUGGGUGGCGGGGAGGAGAGGACCUCCAGCAGCCUGGGUGCCGUGGUUGUCCAAGUGCUGUAGGCUCCGGGACCAACUCGCUGGUGGGGCAGCUGGGCAGGGGUGGCAGAUUUGGAGAGCACAGACCCUGUCGUGGGGGACGGGAUGGGGGAGUUGUUGCCUGAGGGCUUUUGUUGUUCCUUUUUAAUUUGCUAGAGGGCAUGGGCGCUUGCCAGAGAAAGAGCUAAGCCACUCCCGGGCGACGGCCACUCUGCAUGGCCCUCAGGUCCUUGGUUCAGCAUCUGCUGUGCUUCUCUAGCUGCUUGGUUCGGGAGCCGGCCCGCGCUGUCAGCCAGGGGAGAUCAGCCAUCUUAAUCACUGUGCUACCGGCUGGCCUCCCCGGUCGGCUUAU